UACGUAGGGGGCUAGCGUUGUCCGGAAUCACUGGGCGUAAAGCGCACGUAGGCGGAUCUUUAAGUCAGGGGUGAAAUCCCAAGGCUCAACCUUGGAACUGCCUUUGAUACUGGGGAUCUCGAGUCCGGAAGAGGUUGGUGGAACUGCGAGUGUAGAGGUGAAAUUCGUAGAUAUUCGCAAGAACACCAGCGGCGAAGGCGGCCAACUGGUCCGGUACUGACGCUGAGGUGCGAAAGCGUGGGGAGCAAACAGG
rnacentral:rRNA from 1 species